CUACGGGUCGCAGCAGUGAGGAAUAUUGCACAAUGGGGGGAACCCUGAUGCAGCAACGCCGCGUGGAGGAUGACGCAUUUCGGUGUGUAAACUCCUUUUAUAUGUCAAGAAAAUGACGGUAGCAUAUGAAUAAGCACCGGCUAACUCCGUGCCAGCAGCCGCGGUAAUACGGAGGGUGCAAGCGUUACUCGGAAUCACUGGGCGUAAAGGACGCGUAGGCGGGUUGGAAAGUCAGGUGUGAAAUCCUACAGCUUAACUGUAGAACUGCACUUGAAACUUCUAAUCUAGAGUAUGGGAGGGGGAGAUGGGAUUAGUGGUGUAGGGGUAAAAUCCGUAGAUAUCACUAGGAAUACCUAAGGCGAAGGCGAUCUCCUGGAACAUUACUGACGCUAAGGCGUGAAAGCGUGGGGAGCAAACAGGAUUAGAUACCCUAGUAGUC
rnacentral:rRNA from 1 species